AGCUGCCGCGGUAAUUCCGGCUCCAAUAGCGUAUAUUAAAGUUGUUGCAGUUAAAAAGCUCGUAGUUGAAUUUCGGGAUCUAUCCGUCGGUCGGGCCUCACGGUCCGCACUGGUGUGAUGGAUUCCUACCUUCUGAAUAACCGGUAUGCCAUUAAUUUGAUGUGCCGGGGAAGCAGAACCAUUACCUUGAAAAAAUUAGAGUGCUCAAAGCAGGCUUGUGCCUGAAUACAUUAGCAUGAAUAAUAAAAUAGGACGGCAUGGUUGGUUUCUAGGAUCACCGUAAUGAUUAAUAGGGAUAGUUGGG
rnacentral:rRNA from 1 species